UACGUAGGGUGCGAGCGUUAAUCGGAAUUACUGGGCGUAAAGUGUGCGCAGGUGGCCGCGCAAGUCGAGUGUGAAAUCCCCGAGCUUAACUCCGGAACUGCGCCUCAAACUACAUGGCUAGAGCAUUGGAGAGGGAAGUGGAAUUCACGGUGUAGCAGUGAAAUGCGUAGAUAUCGUGAGGAACACCAGAGGCGAAGGCGACUUCCUGGACAAUUGCUGACGCUCAGGCACGAAAGCGUGGGGAGCAAACAGG
rnacentral:rRNA from 1 species